UUCCGGUUGAUCCUGCCGGAGGCCAUUGCUAUUGGAGUCCGAUUUAGCCAUGCUAGUCGCACGAGUUCAGACUCGUGGCACAUAGCUCCGUAACACGUGGCCAAACUACCCUCCAGACGCGAAUAACCUCGGGAAACUGAGGCUAAUCCGCGAUACGGUACCCCACCUGGAAUGAGGGAUAUCUCAACCGCUCCGGCGCUGGAGGAUGUGGCUGCGGCCGAUUAGGUAGACGGUGGGGUAACGGCCCACCGUGCCGAUAAUCGGUACGGGUUGUGAGAGCAAGAACCCGGAGACGGAAUCUGAGACAAGAUUCCGGGCCCUACGGGGCGCAGCAGGCGCGAAACCUUUACACUGCACGCCAGUGCGAUAAGGGGACUCCAAGUGCGAGGGCAUAUAGCCCUCGCUUUUCUGAACCGUAGGGAGGUUCACGAAUAAGUGCUGGGCAAGACCGGUGCCAGCCGCCGCGGUAAUACCGGCAGCACGAGUGAUGGCCGAUCUUAUUGGGCCUAAAGCGUCCGUAGCUGGCCGACCAAGUCCAUCGGGAAAUCCACCCGCUCAACGGGUGGGCGUCCGGUGGAAACUGGCCGGCUUGGAACCGGAAGACCCAACGGGUACGUCUGGGGUAGGAGUGAAAUCCCGUAAUCCUGGACGGACCGCCGAUGGCGAAAGCACGUUGGGAAGACGGAUUCGACAGUGAGGGACGAAAGCUCGGGUCUCGAACCGGAUUAGAUACCCGGGUAGUCCGAGCCGUAAACGAUGUCCACUAGGUGUGGCACAGGCUACGAGCCUGUGCUGUGCCAUAGGGAAGCCGCUAAGUGGACCGCCUGGGAAGUACGUCCGCAAGGAUGAAACUUAAAGGAAUUGGCGGGGGAGCACUACAACCGGAGGAGCCUGCGGUUUAAUUGGACUCAACGCCGGU
rnacentral:rRNA from 1 species